GAACAAGGCAAGUGAUACCGAAAAUAGAAAAUUAAUCUUUCGUCCCUCGUAUGUACGUUAAACGCGGACGUCAAUUCAAUUCAAUUUAAACCGUCGUCGUAUUCGCGCCGUCGCCAUUGCCUGCGAUGUAAAUCAAUGCGUGCGCUAUAUUCGGUCGUUGGGUAUAAUAAAGAGCUUAUAAUAACGGGCUUCGUGUCUGCUUGGCAUUCUGCAUUGAAGAAAUUUCGUGUUCGCAAUACUGUUUAACAACGAAUCCCAAUAUGUACGUAAACCAAUGGUAAUGGCAUUGUACAGCAGAUAUGUGCCAAUGUAAUUUUCUGAUAACAUCAUGGGCUUGUACGGACGAGUGGGUAGGAAAUGCGAGAAAAUAAAAUUAACUUUCGACCAUGACGUUUGCAAGCGUGUUCCCUAAAAAAAAAGGAGAAGAAGAAAGAAAAACGAUGUUGACAACAAUCUAGGGAAUUUUUCCAAUUGGCAGCUGGACGCGGAACUUUAAAUAGACGUUCAAAGGAACGUUUAUCUGAAUACUCGUCACAAUCGCGACAGACGUCAUUACGCCAUGUUGGAUUUCUGUAACCAAGUCGAUCGAGACGGGACCAUCGGAUGGGACGAGCUCGACUGUAUACGAAAACAGGGCCGAGCCAAGAGUUACCGACAAAAUCCCAAGAGAAUCGGGUCAAGUAGCCGUGGUUAAGCCUUGACAGAGAACUAGGUCUAUAAAUAAAAAUGCCGCGUCGCUAAACUUUAUUAAUUUUCCAAUAAAGGCGAACGAGAGUUAUCGGAUAACAUAACAUACAGCAACGCUCAGACUCGAUGGAUACAAUUAUUCCUGGAUCAUCGAGUAAAUAGUUCCUCUUCAUUAGUCGGACUUUAGGAUUCCAAAUAAUUGAUAAUAAUUAUCUGUUGGUUGUAUGUUUAUUGCGAAGGAAAAAUAAUCACUUCGAAACUUUGUUUUCAAUUCUACAGAGAUUGACGUUCUGGGUUUGUGAAAUCCGCCGCUACGCGCCGCCGGUGUUUCCGUUUGCGACGGAAUUACAAAACUGUAUGUAAAUAAAAAAUGCAUAAACUAAUACGCAACAUUUUGUCAUGCGUAUAAACGGA